AUUGUUUCUGCUGAGUGCCAAAGUACCAGUCACUGUUUCUUCAUAUGAAAGCUUUGUCCAGAGUAUUUUCUUCUUAGACUGUGCUGUUUAGCUCUAGACAAUCUUGAUGGCUGCGUCCCAGUUCAUGGAGACGAAUUCCAGUGAAGAUGAAAACGAAGACGUUAUUGAGCUGGAAGCUAUUAGGAGACCGUACAGACCAGUCAAACACUCAGGAGCACAGCAUUACCAUGAUCCCAGACACACCAGUGCCCUGCACAGGAAUAACUGGUCCACUUCAACCCAGAGGGUCCUGUCUUCCAUGCCUAGUCGCUCUAUCAG